rnacentral:ncRNA from 1 species
CUUCAAGAGAUUCAACUGUCAAGCUCCGACUUUGGUUGAACGCCAACCCCAUGUUCACGGGUGGCUCGGAUGACGAAGCGGUCUGCAUCGCGCCUUUUUGGCGCUGUUGGGUGCAGGCAAGAGCAAGUA